UACAGAGGUCCCAAGCGUUGUUCGGAUUCACUGGGCGUAAAGGGUGCGUAGGUGGUGGGGUAAGUCGGAUGUGAAAGCUCGGAGCUCAACUCCGAAAUGGCAUUGGAAACUACCCUGCUAGAGGAUUGGAGGGGGGACUGGAAUACUUGGUGUAGCAGUGAAAUGCGUAGAUAUCAAGUGGAACAUCAGUGGCGAAGGCGAGUCCCUGGACAAUACCUGACACUGAGGCACGAAAGCUAGGGGAGCAAACAGG
rnacentral:rRNA from 1 species